UGAUGCAGCGACGCCGCGUGAGGGAUGACGGCCUUCGGGUUGUAAACCUCUUUCAGCAGGGAAGAAGCGAAAGUGACGGUACCUGCAGAAGAAGCGCCGGCUAACUACGUGCCAGCAGCCGCGGUAAUACGUAGGGCGCAAGCGUUGUCCGGAAUUAUUGGGCGUAAAGAGCUCGUAGGCGGCUUGUCACGUCGGAUGUGAAAGCCCGGGGCUUAACCCCGGGUCUGCAUUCGAUACGGGCUAGCUAGAGUGUGGUAGGGGAGAUCGGAAUUCCUGGUGUAGCGGUGAAAUGCGCAGAUAUCAGGAGGAACACCGGUGGCGAAGGCGGAUCUCUGGGCCAUUACUGACGCUGAGGAGCGAAAGCGUGGGGAGCGAACAGGAUUAGAUACCCUGGUAGUCCACGCCGUAAACGUUGGGAACUAGGUGUUGGCGACAUUCCACGUCGUCGGUGCCGCAGCUAACGCAUUAAGUUCCCCGCCUGGGGAGUACGGCCGCAAGGCUAAAACUCAAAGGAAUUGACGGGGGCCCGCACAAGCAGCGGAGCAUGUGGCUUAAUUCGACGCAACGCGAAGAACCUUACCAAGGCUUGACAUAUACCGGAAAGCAUCAGAGAUGGUGCCCCCCUUGUGGUCGGUAUACAGGUGGUGCAUGGCUGUCGUCAGCUCGUGUU
rnacentral:rRNA from 1 species